UACGUAGGGUCCGAGCGUUGUCCGGAAUUAUUGGGCGUAAAGGGCUCGUAGGCGGUCUGUUGCGUCGGGAGUGAAAACUUACAGCUUAACUGUGAGCGUGCUUCCGAUACGGGCAGACUUGAGGUAUUCAGGGGAGAACGGAAUUCCUGGUGUGAGCGGUGAAAUGCGCAGAUAUCAGGAGGAACACCGGUGGCGAAGGCGGUUCUCUGGGAAUAUCCUGACGCUGAGGAGCGAAAGUGUGGGGAGCGAACAGG
rnacentral:rRNA from 1 species